rnacentral:rRNA from 1 species
GACGAACGCUGGCGGCGUGCUUAACACAUGCAAGUCGAACGGAAAGGCCCUGCUCUUGUUGGGUGCUCGAGUGGCGAACGGGUGAGUAACACGUGAGUAACCUGCCCCUGACUUUGGGAUAACUUCAGGAAACUGGGGCUAAUACCGGAUAGGAGCUCCUGCUGCAUGGUGGGGGUUGGAAAGUUUCGGCGGUUGGGGAUGGACUCGCGGCUUAUCAGCUUGUUGGGGGGGUAGUGGCUUACCAAGGCUUUGACGGGUAGCCGGCAUGAGAGGGUGACCGGCCACAUUGGGACUGAGAUACGGCCCAGAAUCCUACGGGAGGCAGCAGGGGGAAGUAUUGCACAAUGGGCGGAAGCCUGAUGCAGCAACGCCGCGUGCGGGAUGACGGCCUUCGGGUUGUAAACCGCUUUCGACUGUGACGAAGCGUGAGUGACGGUACUGGGUAAAGAAGCACCGGCUAACUACGUG